GAUGAACGCUGGCGGCGUGCCUAAUACAUGCAAGUCGAGCGAACAGACGAGGAGCUUGCUCCUCUGACGUUAGCGGCGGACGGGUGAGUAACACGUAGAUAACCUACCUAUAAGACUGGGAUAACUUCGGGAAACCGGAGCUAAUACCGGAUAAUAUAUUGAACCGCAUGGUUCAAUAGUGAAAGACGGUUUUGCUGUCACUUAUAGAUGGAUCCGCGCCGCAUUAGCUAGUUGGUAAGGUAACGGCUUACCAAGGCAACGAUGCGUAGCCGACCUGAGAGGGUGAUCGGCCAAACUGGAACUGAGACACGGUCCAGACUCCUACGGGAGGCAGCAGUAGGGAAUCUUCCGCAAUGGGCGAAAGCCUGACGGAGCAACGCCGCGUGAGUGAUGAAGGUCUUCGGAUCGUAAAACUCUGUUAUUAGGGAAGAACAAAUGUGUAAGUAACUAUGCACGUCUUGACGGUACCUAAUCAGAAAGCCACGGCUAACUACGUG
rnacentral:rRNA from 1 species